AUAGCUUCUCGGCCUUUUGGCUAAGAUCAAGUGUAGAAACACUGCAUCCAAGAGAUAUUCAAAGCUGGUACAGGGACUGCCCUAGACAGAGGUGGAGCUAAUACCCCAUAUCAUAAGCUCCUCAUAUUCCAU
rnacentral:snRNA from 1 species